rnacentral:rRNA from 1 species
UAAUACGUAGGUGGCAAGCGUUAUCCGGAAUUAUUGGGCGUAAAGCGCGCGCAGGCGGUUUCUUAAGUCUGAUGUGAAAGCCCACGGCUCAACCGUGGAGGGUCAUUGGAAACUGGGGAACUUGAGUGCAGAAGAGAAAAGCGGAAUUCCACGUGUAGCGGUGAAAUGCGUAGAGAUGUGGAGGAACACCAGUGGCGAAGGCGGCUUUUUGGUCUGUAACUGACGCUGAGGCGCGAAAGCGUGGGGAGCAAACAGGAUUAGAUACCCUGGUAGUCCACGCCGUAAACGAUGAGUGCUAAGUGUUAGAGGGUUUCCGCCCUUUAGUGCUGCAGCUAACGCAUUAAGCACUCCGCCUGGGGAGUACGGUCGCAAGACU